rnacentral:rRNA from 1 species
GCCCGAAGCCGAUUAUCUAACCUUUUGGAAGAAGUCGUCGAAGGUGGAAUCAAUAACUGGGGUGAAGUCGUAACAAGGUNNCCNUNUNGNAAGGUGCGGCUGGCUCACCUCCUUUCUGAGGAG